rnacentral:misc_RNA from 1 species
UUUCCGUAGGUGAACCUGCGGAAGGAUCAUUCAGGAAGUUUAAACUGAGUAUUCCAUUUUAGUUGCUCAGUUUAAACAUUUAACCUGCCCACAUUAUGUGCACUGUUAUCUCUGCCUUUGGCAUUUGCCUCUUGAAACAAUUAUUUUGUUUCUAAGACUCGUUAUGAAGAUUGGUAUCAGUUUUCAUUUCGAGAAGUGCGUGCCAUUGGCUUCUUAUUUCAAUUUUACGCCUAAAAUAAUUUUAAUUUUAUUAUUUAAAUAAAUACAAAAUAUAACUUUCAACAACGGAUCUCUUGGCUCUC